UACGUAGGGGGCAAGCGUUAUCCGGAUUUACUGGGUGUAAAGGGAGCGUAGGUGGCGUGCCAAGUCAGGAGUGAAAACCCAGGGCCCAACCCUGGGACUGCUCUUGAAACUGGCAGGCUUGAGUACUGGAGAGGCAGACGGAAUUCCUAGUGUAGCGGUGAAAUGCGUAGAUAUUAGGAGGAACACCAGUGGCGAAGGCGGUCUGCUGGACAGCAACUGACGGUGAGGCGCGAAAGCGUGGGGAGCAAACAGG
rnacentral:rRNA from 1 species